AUCAAAAAUAUAGCCCAGGGUUUAUAGUCCGAGAUUUACGGUAUUCCAUGAACCCAUUAAGAUGUGAUGUUGUGAUGGAUUAACAGACUGUAUGUGCAUGUCUCAGUUACCAUUAUCACUUACACACCCUAAUUUAAUUUCUAUUUGACUACAGUCUCACCCAGGUGUUGGUUGUUCAUGCUGAUAGCCGGAUUAACCCUAAC
rnacentral:lncRNA from 1 species